rnacentral:rRNA from 1 species
CACCGGCGGCCCGAGUGGUGAUCGUGAUUAUUGGGUCUAAAGGGUCCGUAGCCGGUUUGGUCAGUCCUCCGGGAAAUCUGAUAGCUCAACUAUUAGGCUUUCGGGGGAUACUGCCAGGCUUGGAACCGGGAGAGGUAAGAGGUACUACAGGGGUAGGAGUGAAAUCUUGUAAUCCCUGUGGGACCACCUGUGGCGAAGGCGUCUUACCAGAACGGGUUCGACGGUGAGGGACGAAAGCUGGGGGCACGAACCGG